rnacentral:lncRNA from 1 species
ACACACACACACACACACUGGACACACACACACACACACUGGACACACACACACACACACUGGACACACACACACACACUGGACACACACACACACUGGACACACACACACACACACUGAACACACACACACACACACUGAACACAAACACACACUGAACACACACACACUGGCACACACACACACUGGACACACACACACACUGGACACACACACACACUGGACACACACACACACACUGGACACACACGUACACUGGACACACACACACAAAUACAUUCUGGACACACACACACACACAAACACAUCUGGACACACACACACUGGACACAUACACACACACUGGACACACACAAACACACACUGAACACACACACACACUCAACACACACACACUGAUCACAGACACUGGACACACAUACACUCACUGGACACACACACACACACUGGACACACACACACACACUGGACACACACACACUGAACACACACACACACACUGACACACACACACACACACUCUGAACACACACACACACACACCUGGACACACACACACUGAAACACACACACACACACACAAUGGACACACACACACACACACACACACACACACACACACACACACACACACACACACACACACACACACACACUGGACACACACACACACACACUGAAACACACACACACUGGACACAGCACACACACACUAGGCACACACACACACACUGGCCACCCACACACACUGGACAAACACCCAUACACACACACACUCACUCAAACGGACAUACAAACACACUGGAAACACACUGGACACACACACACACACUGGACACACACACACACACUGGACACACACACACACUGGACACACACAAACACACUGGACACACACACACACACACACACACACACACACACACACUGGACCCACUAGAUACACACACACACUCACUGGACACACACACUCACUGGACACACACACUCACUGGACACACACUGACACACACACUGACACACACACGCUUGACACACACACGCUUGAUACACACACACAAACACACUGGAUACACACACACAAACACACUGGAUACAGAUACACACACACACACACACACACACACACACACUGGAUACACACACACACACACACACACUGGAUACACACACACACACACACACUGGAUACACACACACAAACACACACUGGACACACACACACACACUGACACACAUACACACUGAAACACACACAAUUGACAAACACACACUGGAAGAUGACACGUGUUAAAUCAGUUUCUGGACCACAGGUUCUAGAACAGCUUCUAUCCCAGUUCUAUCUGCCUGUUAAAUCAGUUUCUGGACCACAGGUACUAGAACAGCUUCUAUCCCAGUUCUAUCUGCCUGUUAAAUCAGUUUCUGGACCACAGGUACUAGAACAGCUUCUAUCCCAGUUCUAUCUGCCUGUUAAAUCAGUUUCUGGACCACAGGUACUAGAACAGCUUCUAUCCCAGUUCUAUCUGCCUGUUAAAUCAGUUUCUGGACCACAGGUUCUAGAACAGCUUCUAUCCCAGUUCUAUCUGCCUGUUAAAUCAUCAACCUAGAAAAAGAAACGCACACCUUUAAAGGCGAGGUGCUGGCUAGCGGAGUAGAACACUAGAAAAUAAAGGAUAAGUUCAAGGAGAGGGGGUACAACAAUGAUCAGAUUAAUACUGCCAUUGAGAAAAUUCAAAACAAAACGAGACAUGACCUUUUUCAAGGUCAGUCUCGCAAAAAGACGCAUUCUUGCGUUCUCACUACCCGCUACUCAAAGUGCUCUGAACAAAUUAAAGGAAUCGUUCACAAACAUUGGCACAUUCUGAAAUAUGAUGAUAGUCUCGUUAAUGUGUUUUCUGACCUUCCCCUGGUCGUAUUCUCGCGGGGAAGAAAUCUCAGAGACCAAUUGGUACACUCUGAUUUACCACCCCAAGAUAUUCCUGAACAACGUCUAUUUGCGCCCAUACUGGAUGGAAAUUACAAGUGUAAUGGCUGUGCUCAAUGUAAUGGCACUUAUAAAUGUAGAUCCUUCAAACACCCCCAAACAGGGAAAUCUAUCCCAAUUAAAGGUGUUAUUACGUGUUCCACUAAGGCAGUUAUUUAUCUUAUCCUUGUCCUUGUGGUAAAAAUUAUGUGGGUAAAACAAAGCGUGAAUUAAAAGUACGUAUCUCAGAGCAUCGUAGCACCAUUAGGUGCAAAAACUUAACUUACCCAGUUGCGGCCCACUUUUGGAAGCAAACCAUCCGAUUUCGUCUCUGCGUUAUAUUGGUAUUGAACAUGUCACCCUCCCGAGGAGAGGGGUGACCUUGAUAAUUUAUUGUUGAAACGAGAGGCUGCCUGGAUCUUUAAUUUAAAGACCCUUGCUCCCUUCGGUCUCAACAUAGACUUUGAUCUGAAGCCAUUCUUGUGAUUAUUGUGAUUUUGCCAUUGUAAUUGUUUGUUAGAUACAUUUUAGACUACAAAUGCUAUGAUCGUAUGCUAUCCAUUUGUUUGUC